CAAUAGCGUAUAUUAAAGUUGUUGCAGUUAAAAAGCUCGUAGUUGGAUUUCUGGUCGGAAGCUCCUGUCCUCUGAUGAGCGUACAAGUGCGUCCUACCAUCCUUCUGUUAACCUUUAAGGCUUUCGCGGCGUUCUAGGGGCUCAGAUAUUUUACCUUGAGAAAAUUAGAGUGUUUCAGGCAGGCUAGCGCCGGAAUACAUUAGCAUGGAAUAAUGGAAUAGGACUUUUGCCUCUUCUGUUGGUCAUGAGGCUCGAGUAAUGAUUAAUAGGGAUAGUUGGGGGCAUUAGUACUUAACUGUCAGAGGUGAAAUUCUCGGAUUUGUUAAAGACUAACUUAUGCGAAAGCAUUUGCCAAGGAUGUUUUCAUUAA
rnacentral:rRNA from 1 species